CAGCAGCCGCGGUAAUACGUAGCGUGGCAAGCGUUGUCCGGAAUUAUUGGGCGUAAAGGGCUCGCAGGCGGUUUCUUAAGUCUGAUGUGAAAGCCCCCGGCUCAAACCGGGGAGGGUCAUUGGAAACUGGGAAACUUGAGUGCAGAAGAGGAGAGUUGGAAUUCCACGUGUAGCGGUGAAAUGCGUAGAGAUGUGGAGGAACACCAGUGGCGAAGGCGACUCUCUGGUCUGUAACUGACGCUGAGGAGCGAAACGCGUGGGGAGCGAACAGGAUUAGAUACCCUGGUAGUCCACGCCGUAAACGGAUGAGUGCUAAGUGUUAGGGGUUUCCGCCCCUUAGUGCUGCAGCUAACGCAUUAAGCACUCCGCCUGGGGAGUACGGUCGCAAGACUGAAACUCAAAGGAAUUGACGGG
rnacentral:rRNA from 1 species